GUUGUAUGGUUAAGUGACUAAGCGUACACGGUGGAUGCCUUGGCAGUCAGAGGCGAUGAAGGACGUAUUAACUUGCGAUAAGCCCAGAUGGCGAACCGGGGGAACUGAAACAUCUAAGUACCCCGAGGAAAAGAAAUCAACCGAGAUUCCGAAAGUAGCGGCGAGCGAAAUUGGACUAGCCCUUAAGCUUUACACGCGUUAGACGAACGGUCUGGAAAGUCCGACGAUACAGGGUGAUAGUCCCGUAGUUGACGACGUGUGUUCAGUGAAAUCGAGUAGGGCGGGACACGUGAUAUCCUGUCUGAAUAUGGGGGGACCAUCCUCCAAGGCUAAAUACUACUGACUGACCGAUAGUGAACCAGUACCGUGAGGGAAAGGCGAAAAGAACCCCUGUGAGGGGAGUGAAAUAGAACCUGAAACCGUGUACGUACAAGCAGUAGGAGCAGGCUUUGUCCUGUGACUGCGUACCUUUUGUAUAAUGGGUCAGCGACUUAUAUUCAGUGGCAAGGUUAACCAUCUAGGGGAGCCGUAGGGAAACCGAGUCUUAACUGGGCGUUCAGUCUCUGGAUAUAGACCCGAAACCAGGUGAUCUAGCCAUGGGCAGGUUGAAGGUUGAGUAACAUCAACUGGAGGACCGAACCGACUAAUGUUGAAAAAUUAGCGGAUGACUUGUGGCUAGGGGUGAAAGGCCAAUCAAACCUGGAGAUAGCUGGUUCUCCCCGAAAGCUAUUUAGGUAGCGCCUCGGACGAAUACUACUGGGGGUAGAGCACUGUUAAGGCUAGGGGGUCAUCCCGACUUACCAACCCUUUGCAAACUCCGAAUACCAGUAAGUACUAUCCGGGAGACACACGGCGGGUGCUAACGUCCGUCGUGGAGAGGGAAACAACCCAGACCGCCAGCUAAGGUCCCAAAUUACUACUAAGUGGGAAACGAUGUGGGAAGGCUCAGACAGCCAGGAUGUUGGCUUAGAAGCAGCCAUCAUUUAAAGAAAGCGUAAUAGCUCACUGGUCGAGUCGGCCUGCGCGGAAGAUGUAACGGGGCUAAGUAGUAAACCGAAGCUGCGGCAAUGUGCUUUUGCACAUUGGGUAGGGGAGCGUUCUGUAAGCGGUUGAAGGUGUGUGGUAACGCAUGCUGGACGUAUCAGAAGUGCGAAUGCUGACAUGAGUAACGAUAAAGGGGGUGAAAAACCUCCUCGCCGGAAGACCAAGGGUUCCUGUCCAACGUUAAUCGGGGCAGGGUAAGUCGACCCCUAAGGCGAGGCCGAAAGGCGUAGUCGAUGGGAAACGGGUUAAUAUUCCCGUACUUCUUACAAUUGCGAUGGGGGGACGGAGAAGGCUAGGUGGGCCUGGCGACGGUUGUCCAGGUUCAAGUGCGUAGGCUURAGAGUUAGGUAAAUCCGGCUCUUUUUAAGGCUGAGACACGACGUCGAGCAYCUACGGAUGUGAAGUCAUUGAUGCCAUGCUUCCAGGAAAAGCCUCUAAGCUUCAGAUUGUAAGGAAUCGUACCCCAAACCGACACAGGUGGUCGGGUAGAGAAUACCAAGGCGCUUGAGAGAACUCGGGUGAAGGAACUAGGCAAAAUGGUACCGUAACUUCGGGAGAAGGUACGCUCUCGACGGUGAAGUCCCUCGCGGAUGGAGCUAUUGAGAGUCGCAGAUACCAGGUGGCUGCAACUGUUUAUUAAAAACACAGCACUGUGCAAAAUCGUAAGAUGACGUAUACGGUGUGACGCCUGCCCGGUGCCGGAAGGUUAAUUGAUGGGGUUAGACUUCGGUCGAAGCUCUUGAUCGAAGCCCCGGUAAACGGCGGCCGUAACUAUAACGGUCCUAAGGUAGCGAAAUUCCUUGUCGGGUAAGUUCCGACCUGCACGAAUGGCGUAAUGAUGGCCACGCUGUCUCCACCCGAGACUCAGUGAAAUUGAAAUCGCUGUGAAGAUGCAGUGUACCCGCGGCUAGACGGAAAGACCCCGUGAACCUUUACUACAGCUUGGCACUGAACAUUGACCCUACAUGUGUAGGAUAGGUGGGAGGCUUUGAAGCACGUACGCCAGUAUGUGUGGAGCCGUCCUUGAAAUACCACCCUUGUAGUGUUGAUGUUCUAACGUCGACCCCUUAUCGGGGUUGCGGACAGUGCCUGGUGGGUAGUUUGACUGGGGCGGUCUCCUCCCAAAGAGUAACGGAGGAGCACGAAGGUGGGCUAAUCACGGUUGGACAUCGUGAGGUUAGUGCAAUGGCAUAAGCCCGCUUGACUGCGAGAAUGACAAUUCGAGCAGGUGCGAAAGCAGGUCAUAGUGAUCCGGUGGUUCUGAAUGGAAGGGCCAUCGCUCAACGGAUAAAAGGUACUCCGGGGAUAACAGGCUGAUACCGCCCAAGAGUUCAUAUCGACGGCGGUGUUUGGCACCUCGAUGUCGGCUCAUCACAUCCUGGGGCUGAAGUCGGUCCCAAGGGUAUGGCUGUUCGCCAUUUAAAGUGGUACGCGAGCUGGGUUUAGAACGUCGUGAGACAGUUCGGUCCCUAUCUGCCGUGGGCGUUGGAAGAUUGAAGGGGGCUGCUCCUAGUACGAGAGGACCGGAGUGGACGAACCUCUGGUGUUCGGGUUGUGUCGCCAGACGCAUUGCCCGGUAGCUAAGUUCGGAAUCGAUAACCGCUGAAAGCAUCUAAGCGGGAAGCGAGCCCUGAGAUGAGUCUUCCCUGAUACUUUAAGUAUCCUAAAGGGUUGUCGGAGACUACGACGUUGAUAGGUCAGGUGUGUAAGUGCUGUGAGGCAUUGAGCUAACUGAUACUAAUUGC
rnacentral:rRNA from 1 species